rnacentral:lncRNA from 1 species
CCGUCUCCUCCUCAAAGCCACCAUCCUCUGAACUCACUUGUGAGAGAAAGCGUGAAAUCCAGCGGAUUCAGGGCCUCCAAGUCCUCACCGGCGCCCGUCAGCCAGGGCCUUCCAAGGUCUUCUCUACGCCAUCUCACGCUUCCGCUGCGAAAUCUUCUUGUGAACACCUUUGACCUCUGCUCUUCUGUACUCUAUUUCUCUCUCCCUACCUAUCUGUCGAUCUAUCUAUCAAUCUUUCGAUCCGUCGACGUAUUUAUCUGACCGCUUGUCUGCAUCAGUUACCGAUCUAUUAUUAUUUAUGCAAGCUAUUUCUCUCUGGCAUGGUUGCAGGUUCUUUGGCAGUCUGAUCCUGAGAGGUAUCGGCAUCAUCCAGAAGAUCCUUGGCGUCUCGUCGUCACCCAUCAGUAUCUCCUCCACCCCUCAGAGCAGCGGACGACGAAGUAAAGAGUAAAAGCUAGGUUUGUACAUCAAAUUGUAGACAGAAAUACAUUUUCCAUCUCCGAUCAUUUCGUUUUGCUUCGAUCAAGCUCCUGAUUCCCCUUUUUUUUUGGAGCCUCUUCUCCCUCCCGACGGCCAAUGAUGGCGAAAGAAACAGACGAGGGGGAGGAGCAGGGUCGCAAACAAAGAGGGGACCCCUUUUCGGCUACUUCCCAAAUACUCACCUUAACAUAAUUUAUGCCCUCAACAUCCUAACCCUCUCUGCCAUCUUCCUUCAGAGACGACUGCAAUAUUCAUCGCCAAGAACAGGAAUUAUUUACACUGCUGCUGGUGCUGCUUCUACAGCGACCCCCAAAUAUUAUCUGAACUCUGGAGCGGAAGAUAGAGUAAGCGAGAGAGAGAGAGAGAAGAGCAGAAAAAAAAU